rnacentral:rRNA from 1 species
GCAGUCGAGCGGCAGCGCGGGGCAACCUGGCGGCGAGCGGCGAACGGGUGAGUAAUGCAUCGGAACAUGUCCAUGUCGUGGGGGAUAGCCCGGCGAAAGCCGGAUUAAUACCGCAUACGCCCGAGAGGGGAAAGUGGGGGACCGCAAGGCCUCACGCGAUUGGGUUGGCCGAUGUCCGAUUAGCUAGUUGGCGGGGUAAAGGCCCACCAAGGCGAUGAUCGGUAGCUGGUCUGAGAGGAUGAUCAGCCACACUGGGACUGAGACACGGCCCAGACUCCUACGGGAGGCAGCAGUGGGGAAUUUUGGACAAUGGGGGCAACCCUGAUCCAGCCAUUCCGCGUGAGUGAAGAAGGCCUUCGGGUUGUAAAGCUCUUUUGUCCGGAACGAAACGCGGCGCGUGAAUAUCGCGCCGUAAUGACGGUACCGGAAGAAUAAGCACCGGCUAACUACGUGCCAGCAGCCGCGGUAAUACGUAGGGUGCGAGCGUUAAUCGGAAUUACUGGGCGUAAAGCGUGCGCAGGCGGUUUUGUAAGCCAGAUGUGAAAUCCCCGGGCUUAACCUGGGAAUGGCAUUUGGGACUGCAAGGCUGGAGUGCGGCAGAGGAGACUGGAAUUCCUGGUGUAGCAGUGAAAUGCGUAGAUAUCAGGAGGAACACCGAUGGCGAAGGCAGGUCUCUGGGCUGACACUGACGCUCAUGCACGAAAGCGUGGGGAGCAAACAGGAUUAGAUACCCUGGUAGUCCACGCCCUAAACGAUGUCGACUGGUUGU